GUGGGCAUAGCUCAACGGUUAGAGCGCUUCCCUGUGGAGGAAGAGGUUGCGCGUUCGAAUCGCGUUGCCUACC
rnacentral:tRNA from 1 species